rnacentral:rRNA from 1 species
UUAAGCGACUAAGCGUACACGGUGGAUGCCCUGGCAGUCAGAGGCGAUGAAGGACGUGCUAAUCUGCGAUAAGCGUCGGUAAGGUGAUAUGAACCGUUAUAACCGGCGAUUUCCGAAUGGGGAAACCCAGUGUGUUUCGACACACUAUCAUUAACUGAAUCCAUAGGUUAAUGAGGCGAACCGGGGGAACUGAAACAUCUAAGUACCCCGAGGAAAAGAAAUCAACCGAGAUUCCCCCAGUAGCGGCGAGCGAACGGGGAGCAGCCCAGAGCCUGAAUCAGUGUGUGUGUUAGUGGAAGCGUCUGGAAAGGCGCGCGAUACAGGGUGACAGCCCCGUACACAAAAAUGCACAUGCUGUGAGCUCGAUGAGUAGGGCGGGACACGUGGUAUCCUGUCUGAAUAUGGGGGGACCAUCCUCCAAGGCUAAAUACUCCUGACUGACCGAUAGUGAACCAGUACCGUGAGGGAAAGGCGAAAAGAACCCCGGCGAGGGGAGUGAAAAAGAACCUGAAACCGUGUACGUACAAGCAGUGGGAGCACGCUUCGGCGUGUGACUGCGUACCUUUUGUAUAAUGGGUCAGCGACUUAUAUUCUGUAGCAAGGUUAACCGAAUAGGGGAGCCGAAGGGAAACCGAGUCUUAACUGGGCGUUAAGUUGCAGGGUAUAGACCCGAAACCCGGUGAUCUAGCCAUGGGCAGGUUGAAGGUUGGGUAACACUAACUGGAGGACCGAACCGACUAAUGUUGAAAAAUUAGCGGAUGACUUGUGGCUGGGGGUGAAAGGCCAAUCAAACCGGGAGAUAGCUGGUUCUCCCCGAAAGCUAUUUAGGUAGCGCCUCGUGAAUUCAUCUCCGGGGGUAGAGCACUGUUUCGGCAAGGGGGUCAUCCCGACUUACCAACCCGAUGCAAACUGCGAAUACCGGAGAAUGUUAUCACGGGAGACACACGGCGGGUGCUAACGUCCGUCGUGAAGAGGGAAACAACCCAGACCGCCAGCUAAGGUCCCAAAGUCAUGGUUAAGUGGGAAACGAUGUGGGAAGGCCCAGACAGCCAGGAUGUUGGCUUAGAAGCAGCCAUCAUUUAAAGAAAGCGUAAUAGCUCACUGGUCGAGUCGGCCUGCGCGGAAGAUGUAACGGGGCUAAACCAUGCACCGAAGCUGCGGCAGCGACACUGUGUGUUGUUGGGUAGGGGAGCGUUCUGUAAGCCUGUGAAGGUGUACUGUGAGGUAUGCUGGAGGUAUCAGAAGUGCGAAUGCUGACAUAAGUAACGAUAAAGCGGGUGAAAAGCCCGCUCGCCGGAAGACCAAGGGUUCCUGUCCAACGUUAAUCGGGGCAGGGUGAGUCGACCCCUAAGGCGAGGCCGAAAGGCGUAGUCGAUGGGAAACAGGUUAAUAUUCCUGUACUUGGUGUUACUGCGAAGGGGGGACGGAGAAGGCUAUGUUGGCCGGGCGACGGUUGUCCCGGUUUAAGCGUGUAGGCUGGUUUUCCAGGCAAAUCCGGAAAAUCAAGGCUGAGGCGUGAUGACGAGGCACUACGGUGCUGAAGCAACAAAUGCCCUGCUUCCAGGAAAAGCCUCUAAGCAUCAGGUAACAUCAAAUCGUACCCCAAACCGACACAGGUGGUCAGGUAGAGAAUACCAAGGCGCUUGAGAGAACUCGGGUGAAGGAACUAGGCAAAAUGGUGCCGUAACUUCGGGAGAAGGCACGCUGAUAUGUAGGUGAAGCGACUUGCUCGUGGAGCUGAAAUCAGUCGAAGAUACCAGCUGGCUGCAACUGUUUAUUAAAAACACAGCACUGUGCAAACACGAAAGUGGACGUAUACGGUGUGACGCCUGCCCGGUGCCGGAAGGUUAAUUGAUGGGGUUAGCGCAAGCGAAGCUCUUGAUCGAAGCCCCGGUAAACGGCGGCCGUAACUAUAACGGUCCUAAGGUAGCGAAAUUCCUUGUCGGGUAAGUUCCGACCUGCACGAAUGGCGUAAUGAUGGCCAGGCUGUCUCCACCCGAGACUCAGUGAAAUUGAACUCGCUGUGAAGAUGCAGUGUACCCGCGGCAAGACGGAAAGACCCCGUGAACCUUUACUAUAGCUUGACACUGAACAUUGAGCCUUGAUGUGUAGGAUAGGUGGGAGGCUUUGAAGUGUGGACGCCAGUCUGCAUGGAGCCGACCUUGAAAUACCACCCUUUAAUGUUUGAUGUUCUAACGUGGACCCGUGAUCCGGGUUGCGGACAGUGUCUGGUGGGUAGUUUGACUGGGGCGGUCUCCUCCUAAAGAGUAACGGAGGAGCACGAAGGUUGGCUAAUCCUGGUCGGACAUCAGGAGGUUAGUGCAAUGGCAUAAGCCAGCUUGACUGCGAGCGUGACGGCGCGAGCAGGUGCGAAAGCAGGUCAUAGUGAUCCGGUGGUUCUGAAUGGAAGGGCCAUCGCUCAACGGAUAAAAGGUACUCCGGGGAUAACAGGCUGAUACCGCCCAAGAGUUCAUAUCGACGGCGGUGUUUGGCACCUCGAUGUCGGCUCAUCACAUCCUGGGGCUGAAGUAGGUCCCAAGGGUAUGGCUGUUCGCCAUUUAAAGUGGUACGCGAGCUGGGUUUAGAACGUCGUGAGACAGUUCGGUCCCUAUCUGCCGUGGGCGCUGGAGAACUGAGGGGGGCUGCUCCUAGUACGAGAGGACCGGAGUGGACGCAUCACUGGUGUUCGGGUUGUCAUGCCAAUGGCACUGCCCGGUAGCUAAAUGCGGAAGAGAUAAGUGCUGAAAGCAUCUAAGCACGAAACUUGCCCCGAGAUGAGUUCUCCCUGACCCUUUAAGGGUCCUGAAGGAACGUUGAAGACGACGACGUUGAUAGGCCGGGUGUGUAAGCGCAGCGAUGCGUUGAGCUAACCGGUACUAAUGAACCGUGAGGCUUAACCUU